GUUGAGGUCUAUCCUGAUGGGGCUUUUUCUGUAGCCUCACAUCACUGGAAACACCUCAUAGAGUAACACUGGUUCUGCUUCACUCGCAGGACUAUUUGUUAGGUCUGUGGGAAACAACUACAAGACAAUU